UGAGAAUUACUGUUUAAAACUUUUGUGAGA
rnacentral:piRNA from 1 species